UGUUAAAAAAAUUAUUCAUUUGUUCUGUUAAAAAUUGGUGUAGUUAACGGAAUAACCAGGCAGUAACAUGUGACGUGUCACGUUUAUCUCAUGAUGAUGUAUGAGGAUCAGUCUUUAACAGUGGAAAUGAAUGAAAUUUUUAAUA
rfam:Gossypium hirsutum cultivar TM-1 chromosome 22, whole genome shotgun sequence